rnacentral:rRNA from 1 species
AGAGUUUGAUCCUGGCUCAGGACGAACGCUGGCGGCGCGCCUAACACAUGCAAGUCGAACGGAGCUUAGAGAGCUUGCUUUUUAAGCUUAGUGGCGAACGGGUGAGUAACGCGUGAGUAACCUGCCCUAGAGUGGGGGACAACAGUUGGAAACGACUGCUAAUACCGCAUAAGCCCACGGUGCCGCAUGGUACUGAGGGAAAAGGAUUUAUUCGCUUUAGGAUGGACUCGCGUCCAAUUAGCUAGUUGGUGAGGUAACGGCCACCAAGGCGACGAUUGGUAGCCGGACUGAGAGGUUGAACGGCCACAUUGGGACUGAGGCACGGCCCAGACUCCUACGGGAGGCA